GUAAGGAAUAUUGGACAAUGGACGCAAGUCUGAUCCAGCCAUGCCGCGUGAAGGAUUAAGGUCCUCUGGAUUGUAAACUUCUUUUAUAAGGGACGAAAAAAGGCUUUUCUAAGUCGUCUGACGGUACCUUAUGAAUAAGCACCGGCUAACUCCGUGCCAGCAGCCGCGGUAAUACGGAGGGUGCAAGCGUUAUCCGGAUUCACUGGGUUUAAAGGGUGCGUAGGCGGGCAGGUAAGUCAGUGGUGAAAUCCUAGAGCUUAACUCUAGAACUGCCAUUGAUACUAUCUGUAUUGAAUAUUGUGGAGGUAAGCGGAAUAUGUCAUGUAGCGGUGAAAUGCUUAGAUAUGACAUAGAACACCUAUUGCGAAGGCAGCUUACUACGCAUAUAUUGACGCUGAGGCACGAAAGCGUGGGGAUCAAACAGGAUUAGAUACCCGUGUAGUCC
rnacentral:rRNA from 1 species